rnacentral:rRNA from 1 species
UACAGAGGUCUCAAGCGUUGUUCGGAUUCAUUGGGCGUAAAGGGUGCGUAGGUGGCGCCGUAAGUCAGGUGUGAAAUCUCGGGGCUCAACCCCGAAACUGCACUUGAUACUGCGGUGCUCGAGUACUGGAGAGGAGAUUGGAAUUUACGGUGUAGCAGUGAAAUGCGUAGAUAUCGUAAGGAAGACCAGUGGCGAAGGCGAGUCUCUGGACAGUUACCGACGCUGAGGCACGAAGGCCAGGGGAGCAAACGGG